GCCAGUGUAGCAUAGUGGUUUAAACACUGAACUAAGAUUCUGGAGACUAGGGUUCGAAUUUCUGCUCUGGCC